AGUCGAGCGCAUCCUUCGGGAUGAGCGGCGGACGGGUGAGUAACGCGUGGGAAUGUGCCCUUCUCUACGGAAUAGCCACUGGAAACGGUGAGUAAUACCGUAUACGCCCUUAGGGGGAAAGAUUUAUCGGAGAAGGAUCAGCCCGCGUUAGAUUAGGUAGUUGGUGGGGUAACGGCCUACCAAGCCUACGAUCUAUAGCUGGUUUUAGAGGAUGAUCAGCCACACUGGGACUGAGACACGGCCCAGACUCCUACGGGAGGCAGCAGUAGGGAAUCUUGGACAAUGGGGGAAACCCUGAUCCAGCCAUGCCGCGUGAGUGAAGAAGGCCUUAGGGUCGUAAAGCUCUUUCGCCUGUGAUGAUAAUGACAGUAGCAGGUAAAGAAACCCCGGCUAACUCCGUGCCAGCAGCCGCGGUAAUACGGAGGGGGUUAGCGUUGUUCGGAAUUACUGGGCGUAAAGCGCGCGUAGGCGGAUUGGAAAGUUGGGGGUGAAAUCCCGGGGCUCAACCCCGGAACUGCCUCCAAAACUGCCAGUCUAGAGUUCGAGAGAGGUGAGUGGAACUCCAAGUGUAGAGGUGAAAUUCGUAGAUAUUUGGAAGAACACCAGUGGCGAAGGCGGCUCACUGGCUCGAUACUGACGCUGAGGUGCGAAAGUGUGGGGAGCAAACAGGAUUAGAUACCCUGGUAGUCCACACCGUAAACGAUGAAUGCCAGUCGUCGGGUAGUAUACUAUUCGGUGACACACCUAACGGAUUAAGCAUUCCGCCUGGGGAGUACGGUCGCAAGAUUAAAACUCAAAGGAAUUGACGGGG
rnacentral:rRNA from 1 species